AACGAACGCUGGCGGCAGGCUUAACACAUGCAAGUCGAGCGCCCCGCAAGGGGAGCGGCAGACGGGUGAGUAACGCGUGGGAACCUACCCAUCUCUACGGAAUAACGCAUGGAAACGUUUUCUAAUACCGUAUACGUCCGUCGGGAGAAAGAUUUAUCGGAGAUGGAGGAGCCCGCGUUGGAUUAGCUCGUUGGUGGGGUAAAGGCCUACCAAGGCGACGAUCCAUAGCUGGUCUGAGAGGAUGGUCAGCCACACUGGGACUGAGACACGGCCCAGACUCCUACGGGAGGCAGCAGUGGGGAAUAUUGAACAAUGGGCGCAAGCCUGAUCCAGCCAUGCCGCGUGAGUGAUGAAGGCCCUAGGGUUGUAAAGCUCUUUCACCGGUGAAGAUAAUGACGGUAACCGGAGAAGAAGCCCCGGCUAACUUCGUGCCAGCCGCCGCCGUAACAC
rnacentral:rRNA from 1 species